rnacentral:rRNA from 1 species
GACGAACGCUGGCGGCGUGCCUAACACAUGCAAGUCGAACGAAACCGUCUGGUCUCCUUUCGCGCUUGUGCGUACCCGAUUGGCGCCUGCCCUUAUAUUCGGUAUAUGUUCCCGACAGAACUUCGAAUAACGGAUGAUGUCUUCGGACCAAUGAUUUAUCGCCUUUGGGUGGGUCGGCGUUGGAUUAGCUCGUUGGUAGGGUGACAGCCUACCAGGUCGACGCUUCAUAGCUGGUCUGAGAGGAUGAUCAGCCACACUGGGACUGAGACACGGCACAGACUGGUACGGGAGGACGAAGGGGGGAAUAUUGGAGCAGGGGCGAAAGCUUGAGCAAGCAAUGCCGCGUGAGGGAUGCAGGCCUUAGGGUUGUAAAGGUCUUUUACCUGGGAUGAUAAUGACAGUACCGGGAGAAUAAGCUCCGGCUAACUACGUG